rnacentral:sRNA from 1 species
UCAUGCAAAGUGCAAACGGAAUGUGC